AACGAACGCUGGCGGCAGGCCUAACACAUGCAAGUCGAGCGAGGACUUCGGUCCUAGCGGCGGACGGGUGAGUAGCGCGUGGGAACGUGCCCCUUGGUACGGAAUAGCCCCGGGAAACUGGGAGUAAUACCGUAUGAGCUCUACGGAGGAAAGAUUUAUCGCCAAGGGAUCGGCCCGCGUUGGAUUAGGUAGUUGGUGGGGUAAUGGCCUACCAAGCCGACGAUCCAUAGCUGGUUUGAGAGGAUGAUCAGCCACACUGGGACUGAGACACGGCCCAGACUCCUACGGGAGGCAGCAGUGGGGAAUCUUAGACAAUGGGCGCAAGCCUGAUCCAGCCAUGCCGCGUGAGCAAUGAAGGCCUUAGGGUUGUAAAGCUCUUUCAGCUGGGAAGAUAAUGGCUGUACCAGCAGAAGAAGCCCCGGCUAACUCCGUGCCAGCAGCCGCUGUAACAC
rnacentral:rRNA from 1 species